rnacentral:misc_RNA from 1 species
UUUCCGUAGGUGAACCUGCGGAAGGAUCAUUACAAUUUUGGCACACCAAGAUGCCCUCGGGCGUUGCGGUGUUGUCAAUCGAGAUACCAACCCAUGUCUUUUGCGCACCUCACGUUUCCUCGGCAGGCUCGCCUGCCAAUGGGGACCACGAAGAAACCUCUUGCAGUUGCAGUAAACGUCUAAACAAACAAAAAAUCAAAACUUUCAACAACGGAUCUCUUGGUUCUGGCAUCGAUGAAGAACGCAGC